rnacentral:tRNA from 1 species
GCAAGUGUGUCGUAAGGGUAGCCGAGCUGAGUUUAGGUCUCAGUGACGUAAGUCGUGUGGGUUCAAGUCCCACCACUUGUA